CACGUAGGGUGCGAGCGUUGUCCGGAAUUAUUGGGCGUAAAGAGCUCGUAGGCGGUGUGUCACGUCGGCCGUGAAAACCUGCAGCUUAACUGUGGGCGUGCGGUCGAUACGGGCAUCACUGGAGUUCGGCAGGGGAGACUGGAAUUCCUGGUGUAGCGGUGAAAUGCGCAGAUAUCAGGAGGAACACCGAUGGCGAAGGCAGGUCUCUGGGCCACUACUGACGCUGAGAAGCGAAAGCAUGGGGAGCGAACAGG
rnacentral:rRNA from 1 species